rnacentral:tRNA from 1 species
GGGGUGGCUCAGCGGUAGAGCGGGGCGCUGUUAACGCCUAGGUCGCGGGUUCGAAUCCCGCCC